rnacentral:rRNA from 1 species
CCCUUAGAUGCUCUGGGCCGCACGCGCGCUACACUGGUCGAUGCAACGAGUUUCUUUCCUUGGCCGACAGGCCUGGGCAAUCUUUGAACAUCGAUCGUGAUCGGGAUAGAUUCUUGUAAUUUUUGAUCUUAAACGAGGAAUUCCUAGUAAACGCAAGUCAUCAGCUUGCAUUGAUUACGUCCCUGCCCUUUGUACACACCGCCCGUCGCACCUACCGAUCGAAUGGUCCGGUGAAAUCUCCGGACUGGCGUGAGUCGGAGCAAUCUGACAAACGCCGGAAAGUUGAUUAAACCUUACCAUUUAGAGGAAGGUGAAGUCGUAACA